rnacentral:lncRNA from 1 species
CAGCUGCUGAGUGACUAAGGGACAGGUAGCGUAUAAUGUGUGGAUACACCAGAUAAAGGGAUGAUUCACUUCCGUGGAGGAUGGAGUGGGAUGGCAUGAGAUUUCAUCACACUAUGCAGAAUGGCAUGCAAUUUAAACUUAUAAAUUGUUUAUUUAAUAUUUUCAGACUGCAGUUGACCACAGUAAAAAGGCAGAUUGGAAUAGGGAAAAUGUUCUAAUAUGAAGAUACCUGAAUUUUCAUCUUGGUUCCAGAACUCACAAAGUGUGUAGACCUAAGGCUCAAACACAUACCAUACCAUGAACAGCCCACUCCUCUCAAAGGGAGAAUCAGCACAUUAGAGGCCAGUGGCCCAAGAUGGGGAAGAGCAUGGUGUCGGGCCCCAGAGAGUGACCGGGUCACGGAGGAAGAGAACACUGUAGAAGGACCUGGAUCCUCCCCUUGGGAGCCAGUCUCCUCCGUUUCCAGAAAUAACUUGUGCGCCUCCGGUAAAGCCACUGUGCACAGCGUUACUUUUGUGAUCACAGACAAAACUGAAAGCCUUGAAAAUAUAUACUUCAUGGACUAUGCCUAAUUAAACACUAUAGGGUCUUUGCAGAUGUAAUCGAGUUAAGACGAAGUCAUAAUCCAAUAUGGCUAGUGUUCUUACA